GACCCUCGGGCCUUUGGCCACAGACUGAAGGCUGCACUGUCAGUUUCCCUACUUUUGAGGUUUUGGGACUCAGACUGAUCUGCCACUGGCUUCCUUGGUCCUCAACUAGCAGACAGCCUAUCAUGGAACUUUACCUUGUGAUGGUAAUAACGUAGAUGACAGGAAGAAAUAGCAUUUGAAAAAAAUUGCAUGCUUGAAAAAGUGGAACAAUACUAACCAGUGCCUAAGAGGGGCACAAAACUGUCUAUACUUUUUACACUUCAAUGGAUGUGAAAUAAUUACAUCUUAUGGAAUCAGAAUUUCAGAGUUCAAAGAAAUAUUAAUGGUCUUUCAGGCUACGAAUAAGAAAACUGAGAAGGGAGAAACAAGAGCUCUUUCUUUUACACCAAAGAGAGGCCACGUGAGGACAUAAUGAAAAGAAGGCCAUCAGCAAAAAAAGAAGAGGACGGUCACCAGACUCCAAAUCUACUGGCACCUUGAUUCUGGACUUCCUAUUCUCCAGAACUGUGAGAAUUAAAUGUAUGUUGUUUAAGCCUCCCAGCCAACUAUUUUGUUAUAGCAGCC
rnacentral:lncRNA from 1 species